UCUACUCCAGUUGUAUGCGUAAAACAUUUGGUUUAUGUGUUUUUACUUGCUACCUCAUAUACUACGCCCCAAUCCCAUAGGUUCCUCCAUCGCAUGAGUCAAAGAUGAAGAUUGUAAAGUUGCUAUUGAAAAUCCUGGAAUUGCUGGCGAAAACCGAAGGCGACCAUCGCUUCAUAAAGAUCGUUGGCGGAAGAAAGGAUAGUGUUUGUUUUUCUGGUAGCGUUUGUUACCGGAUAUAAGGAUGAAUUUGUAUAUGCUGCUUAAGAAGCUGUACAAAAAUGAGAGAGCCAUUUUCCGUGUAUAUAUGUGUAUGUAUGUUUAUGUGUAUUGUAUGUUAUAUGUAUUGUACGUUAUGCUUACGUAUUUGUACAUUAAGAUACAAAGCUUGACAAUUGUUAGUUUUUACUAUUUAGUACCUGCGAA